GGACAUGAGUUUUGUGGUUAAUGCCUUUAGGGAAAAAUCUGUUUCAUAUUUUCAACUCUUUUUUAAUUAGAAUCUUUUUAUCUCUGCAGACUAUUGAGGAAGCUUUUUACAAUGGCUUCAAAGAUGCAAUCCGUUUUCUUCAAAUUAAUGGUGAGUCAAAUGGAAAAUAAAAAAAAAAGGUUGCAAAAAGUCUUUGGAAAGGAAUUUCAAUUAACUUUUUUUGCCCUGUAAAAGAUCUUGCCCCAUCUGCAAUGAGUGGCGGUCCUGAAAUGAUACUGAGCAAUGGUCAAGCCAACAUGUGGAAACACCUGGAAACUUCCAGAACAGAACUGGAGAAUGUGGAGAUGACAGCAGGGAACACCACUAUGGAAAGCUACAAUUCUACAUGGACUGACAGCUCAGCUGAGCCAGAGCUCUUCAGGGAUUCACAUUUUCACUUUAAUGUGGUAAAAAAUGGUAAUGUUGGACAUUAGUUUCUAUUUUUUUGCUUGACAAAAAUGUCUUGUCUGGUGUUUUUCACUUUAAUCCUUAACUAAAACAGCAAAGCUGUUAUAUUAGUAUUGAGCCUUUGUAUUCUAGUAUGUUGUGAUUUCUCUUUCAGUUCUUUUGGGCAAUGCUUCAACCUAUCUGACCAUGUUGAGACUACCUGCGAGAAUUUUGUCAAGUCUGCUUCUUCCUCUUGUGGUGUCUUUUUAUGCACUUCUCCAGAGUAGACAAAGAAUGGAGUCGCUGUUCAGACAACUGCCUGACAUUGUUUUCUGGACGUGGCUUGGUGCCAGACAAUGUUUUCUAUUUUUUGUCAACAUAGUUAUCCAAACUCUGAAGAAGGACAUGGAAGAAAGGCAAGGAUCAUGAACUGCAUCCUGCUAUUGCAAUGGCUGAAAGUCUACGCAUAUGGACAAUGAUGUUUACUUCCGAACAACCAAAUUCACAAGACGUCGUGUGCUGGAAAAUAAUUUGUGGCACGUAAAACCGACUUUACAUUGUUUAACAAUCUUUGAUUAAAAAACAGCCCAAAAGUAUGCCAUAAAACCCAGGAGUUUAAAUACUGAUGGGCAGAGCUAAUAACCUUUAAUAAGUUUUGGGAUUAACUAAAGAUGGAGUUGACGUGUGUUUGCCACAUGACAAUUAAUGGUUAAUGGAUACUUUGACCAAAAACUUGUACCAUACAUUACAAAAAAUAUAUAAAAAUAUAUGCUGUAAAAAUCUUUGCCAAAUAAAGCAGAGUGUGAAAACUUGAUUUAUUUUGCUUCUUUCGCUAAGUACUUUUAUUGCACUUUGACAUUUGUUUUUGUUUCUAUGUUGCUUUUCUUAGGAAAAAAAAAGCUUUGUUAUAGGUUGUUUUACCCUUAAGACCGCGUUUUAAUUACUGAUGAGUUUUAAUGUUUGAAGGUCAUUCGUUUU
rnacentral:lncRNA from 1 species